ACCGUACCCACUAGGGACUAUUGAUUAUAGUUCUCAUACAUUUUUUAAUAUUUUAUUUUUCAGUACUAACGACUGAUCGAGAUAAGGGGAUCGCGAAUAGUUAGCAUCUUCUACCUUUUUUGUGUGUGUAGCUAGACCACUUAUCAGUGAAUAUAGCAGCCUGUAUAGUAUUUUCAGAUUUGGAGUGGCCAGAAAUGUUGUACCAUUUUGAGGAUUAGUGUCACGCCCCGCAACCAACUGCCAAUUUGGACCGGGUCGCGGCGCCGCCGACAGACCGCCGAACGGACCAGGAAUUCCCCUGUACGCGGACAGAGUCUCCCCCGUACGUCCAAAGCGUCGCAAUCCAAACAAUCAACGAAUGUUCCAACAAGGAACGGAUAUCAAUCCAGAUUGCAUAAGGAAGUAUCAAAUACAUAAUCUACUUGCUAUUACAAGAAUUCAUUUCACAAUCACGUUAUACAUCACAGUUUCAGUUUACAUUUUUACUUCCAAAUUACAAUCUUACUAUUACAUCAGAGUUUGAUACAUUUUCUUUUCUUGUCUUCUAGACCCCUAAGCUAGACUGUCUCAAGGUACUGCUACCUCGGUCUCUGUGGUGGGGCGCUAUCUACUGAGCUACGCCCUCGCCUCGCGCCGCCGCGCCGCACACGAACGACCUGAAAACCCCAAAACAACGUGGGGUGAGAACCAACUCCAUGGUUCCCAGUGGGUACGGCCACCCAAGGGAAAAGCUCGACCGAUAGGUCUACGUAGGCCCUGCAACAUGUCAGUUCAACAAUAUACGAUGCAGAUAUAUUCAAUUGAAAUACAUGUUAGGCCUAACAAUAUGCAAUAUGUAUCUUUUAUGCUUUUCCAUACUUUACUAGUAGAUUGCUUGAUUCUACUUAGCUACUUUAGCUCAUUUAACAACGAGUAGAUUAUUUAAUUCUACUUUUACUUAGCUGCUUUAGCUCAUAACUUUACUCUAAGGUUUCUAUUACCUUAGGAUCACAACACUAACCACUGGCUUCGAAGGUUUCUAUUACCUUAGCUCAAGCCUCUAUCUCUAGCUCAUAAGGGUUUUUCUACCCUAUCAUAGCUAACCACCCGACUCGGCUUCGAGUCAAUCAUCCGCGGAUAGCCCGCGCUCCGGCUGCUCAGUCAGCCUACCGCACUCACUCUGACUCAGCCUCCUAGCGGCGAAAUCGUCGCACACGCUGAACACGGCUCGAGCCACAAGACUUAACCAUCGGUGGCGAUCGCGUUGCACUUACCCAGCGAGAGCUCGAGACCUGACAUACCAUCUGGCGGCGAACGAGUCGCACCACACCGAACAACGGUCAUGUCAGACUCAGUCACCUGGAGGCACCCGCAUCGUACUUACCCAGCAUGGACUCAGUCUGCUCUGGCGGUCUGAUCCUCAAAUGGCUUAACCACUCUGGCGGCGAAAUCGUCGCACAAACGCCAGCACAAUGGUUCAAGCCCCGGGCGGUGAUCUUUAUGUGAUCGCCCCCAAUCUAACCUCUGUACAAAGCUCGGCGGCGAAAUCGUCGCACGAACGCCCUAGCCCGUACAAGGAACAUAGCAAAGUCCUGGGAUUCCGGAAUCCACUUACCACAGGUCGAGGGUUCAUAGCCAACCCUAUACUGCCGACCUAGCUCAAUCUAGUGGCUAUACCACUAUACUCAUCAACCUAGGUUCCAACACUCUAGGUUCUAUGUCCACAUCACUUAACCUAGAUACACUUGCUAGGUUCUUAUCAUCUUUGGCCUAGAUGUCCACUUCUAGGAUUAUUAGUUCAACCUAGGUUUACUAACACUAGGUCAAAUGCCACACACCUAGAUUGUUCGACUCUAGGUUUACUAAUCGACCUAUGUUCUUUAACACUAGGUUAGAUGCCACUCGAUCUAUCUGACAACCUAGUUGUCCAAUCAACUCUAUUUACACUAGAGUUAUCAUGUCACUUACUUAGCUCUCAUGAUGCUACUUUGCAUUCUCUACUUUAACUAGCAUUAUAUACAUGCUAUGCUCAUUAUGCUCUCUACUUAGCAUUUCCAUCUAUGCAUAAUUAGUACAUGCAUUCUUUACAUCAACUAGCAUUAAUUACUUAGCAUGCUUUCCAUUUAGUAUUUGCAUCUUAUGUUAAUCAUGUUCUCUACUUAACAUUUACUAGUAUAGCUCUAUGCAUCAUUAUUUAACAUGCAUUUACACUAUGCAUUAUUAUCAUCAUGCAUUCCAAUUACUUGCUUGCAUUAUUUAUUUAUCACGCUCAUCAUACAUUCUUUACUUUUCUUGCAUUUACUCUAUGCAUGCAUUGUUAUUAACAUGCAUUUACUUUACAUCAUGCAUCAUUUAGCCUUGUCUACAUGCACAUGCAUCAACGUGAGAUUACAUUGCUAAGACAUAAAGGGCGACCUAGUCGCUUCGGUAAGCACAACCCACCUUAACUCGCGUUCCGAUUGCUUGUCGAUACUUGCAAUCGGCCUCCGCGGCACCCGGUACCCGGUUUGGCCCGAUCUCUCGCGCGACCACCCGAACGGCCUCCAAUUCACGAUCCGAAAAUUAAAGGUCUUCGGUUAUGUGCCACGAUGCUUCAAAUCUGUUUUCAUGAGUAUACGAUGUCGCCUCGGCCCUCCAGGCGGAAACGAAGCCUAAACGUCCGUUUCUUUAAUAACUUCGCGUAGGCUCGACGAAUAACCGAACCGACUUCGCCAACGCGUUCGCUUACCUAGCAAUUAGGUUUACGAAGGGUCAAAUUAGAUCAAACCCCACCUAAUUUGUAAACCCCCAUUUUCACACCUUAGCCUCAACAUAUGCUCCAAACAAUCCAAAUAUUAAGGAUUUAACAAGCUAACUUCACAUUAGAGGCUAUUAGAACACUUAAACUUAAGGAUUAAGCCAAAUCCCGAUAGCUUACCAAAAUAUGAACGCCGAGACGGAAGCAUGUCUCUCCAACGGGCGCACGAAAGCUCAAUCCGUCGCCUCCAACGCGUUCGCAAGCUCGAUCUCCACCAACGCCGCGAAUUUGGGCGAAAGAUCUAGAGAGAUGAGAGAGAUAUUUAGAGAGAGAAAGAGAGGGUUUCUCUCUCCUUCACCAUGUGCGUGUGAUGCUUGUGCUGGCUGCAGCUGAGGAGGAAGAAGAAGCCUAGUAGCUUCUACUUAUAGUCAACCCUCAAUAGUAGCAUACACUAUUCACAUCAGGCAGCUCCAAAUCUGAUAUCUUUCGCCGGAGCUCCCUGAAUAUCCGUUUGAGCUCAAAUUUGACAGUCAUGUUCGGUUUUGCUUAACUUAACGAAAGAAAUUUUAAUCUUUCAGUUUCGACCCCGUUUAGUCACCGAAAGCUGUACCGAACUGUAAUCUUUAUCAGAUAACUUUCGGAUUUUAUUUCUCACUCUACGGGGGUCAGAAAAAUAUGAAAUCUUAAAUCUAGCCUCAUAAAAAUAUUUUUGACUUAUCCUCCAAUUUUCAUAAUUUUCUGAGACUGUGCAUUUUCUGUUAAUUCAUCUGCCCCGCUUCUCACAGAAAAUUCUAAAUCUUCUGUUUUCGCUCCGAUUUCAGCACAGGUCAUUUCCAAUCUAUAUUUCACUUCUCUAAACCCAAUAAAAAUAAUAUCUCACACUAUUUUAUUUUUAUAUUUAAAGAUCCGGUAUAUUACAUUUCACUGCAACCUCACCGGAACCACUUAAAUAUACACCGUAACUUCAUAGUUUUAGAAGUCCGGUACCUUACAAUU
rnacentral:lncRNA from 1 species